rfam:Bacteroidetes bacterium OLB9 TZ09_BCD002CONTIG000017, whole genome shotgun sequence.
CAAUAAUGGAGUUCAGCGACCAUUUAAAAAAACGGGGCGUCAUUCCGAAAAGCCAUAUGAGUAGGAGAUAA